CUUCAGCCUGGUGAGGAUGAUCUCUGAUUUCCUUUUUGGUCGAGAACAUUUCCUCAUGAUAAUUGCCACCCCUGGGCUAUGCUUUCUGCUACCUUGAGACCUUAUGUGUAAUUGGGGUAGGCUCUGAUGUCACCUAACUUUUUAGGCUGUGUGUGUGGGGGGUGGGGGAACAACCGUAAAGCCUUCUUUUCAAUCUCCCCACAAAACAAAACAGAAACAAAACACUAUUGUUUGCUAUCUGACCCCUGAAAUUCCAGCCUUCCUUUAAACCAUGAUAAGCAGCUUUCAACAUAACUGCCAACCUUGAUUGGUAAUGACAAUGGUUCUAAGACCAGAUUCAGGCUUGGCAGGAAAAAGUGAUAUUGGGAGGACAUUGAACUCUGCUAUCUUGCAAGUCCCGGGAUGAAAAAACAAAUCCUCCGAGCUGCUGACAGCCUCUCGACCUUAGCAGGACUGAAAUUCCUAAAGGAGACCGACACUGGGAAAAAAGGGGACCGACAGGAGAUGCGGACUCCGGGGAGGAAGAGUUAUGAGUGGGGGUAGGAGGAGGUCAGAGACCUUCACCGCUGCGGCCAGCUAUAAUAAAAUAGGAUGAUAUGUUAUCCUAAUAGAAUUGUUAGAGAGUAUUUCAAGGCUGGAUUUGAGGUCACUGCAGGACAAUGACAGUCCAUUCUUGCUGGCCCCAGCAUUUAUUACAGUCCUUACAAUCCAGUGAAAGCUCAACAAAUGUUAUUUUUAACAAAUGAAUGUUUGUUUGUGUUUUUUAUGCAUUUAAGAAAAAGCUAUUUUCAUUGGCAAGACAUAAUUCCCCUGGCCAAUAACUGUAAGAACAGACAUGUUUGAAUCAAAGUUGGGGAGGAGUGAACACAGGCUUCAGGCUUUGCAAAAAUGAGGAUCGGGUUCCCAAGCAACCUUCCCUGGGUCCAACCAGCUGGAGCAGUCAGUCCAGGCCGCCAGGUGAGGGAUGGGUGAAAACAAUAGCAACUGGAGCCUGCUUUGGUGUAUUUCUUCAUUGCACUUAAUAUUCAACGCAUAAUUGUGCCUCUCGAAGAACACCUCUGUCACUCCAAGAUGCACCUGCAUCAGUCCUUGAUUGCCUCUCUACAAUCACAUUUUUCAAUUAACAAAGAGAUUAUCUAUACCAGGAAACCAAGGCUCAGAGAGCUUCUGAAUGCAAACUCCAUGUUCUUCCUAAUAUACAAAUAAUAAAAAUCUGGAAAUAUUGUCAGAAUGCAUAGUCCCAACCUACCUAGACUUUUGU
rnacentral:lncRNA from 1 species